CUACGGGUUGCUGCAGUGGGGAAUCUUGCACAAUGGGCGAAAGCCUGAUGCAGCCAUGCCGCGUGAAUGAUGAAGGCCUUAGGGUUGUAAAAUUCUUUCGCCAGGGAUGAUAAUGACAGUACCUGGUAAAGAAGCCCCGGCUAACUUCGUGCCAGCAGCCGCGCUAAUACGAAGGGGGCUGGCGUUGUUCGGAAUUACUGGGCGUAAAGCGCACGUAGGCGGACUUUUAAGUCAGAUGUGAAAUCCCGAGGCUCAACCUCGGAACUGCAUUUGAAACUGGAAGUCUAGAGUUCAGGAGAGGUUAGCGGAAUACCGAGUGUAGAGGUGAAAUUCGUAGAUAUUCGGUGGAACACCAGUGGCGAAGGCGGCUAACUGGACUGAUACUGACGCUGAGGUGCGAAAGUGUGGGGAGCAAACAGGAUUAGAUACCCCCGUAGUC
rnacentral:rRNA from 1 species